GGGAUAUCCAAAGCUGUCUGUCAGAUGUCAGGUCAGAUGGAAUGGAGAACCCCAGAGACAAGGAGGGUAGAAUCAGGAAUUGGCUUUUUUCACUUUCCUGCUCCUCAGGUCAGAUAAAUUCAGAACUCUUACUUCUAUACCCGCCUCUGCCUCAAGCUAGCCUAAAACCCACAAUCUAACUCCCUUGAUGAGGAUGAUCAUUAACAACAAUCAUUAAAUAAGUACUUACCAAGUGCCAGGCACAGUACUAGAUAAAUAAAGUUGUCUUUUUAUCUACCA